GCGGGAGGAAAGUUACCGGACGAAGUUUAAACCGGUGAUAGCAGCUACCCGCCAACAGUUAUGGCUGCCGUACAGGAAGUGACGCACUCGACGUCACCUUCCUACCCCCGGAUAUAACGCUGCUCAGUCAGGUCUUUAAGCCUCCGGAGCUGUAGAGUCUGAUCUGUGACCCGCUACUGAUGAUCCUGCUCAAAGUCUGCUGUUAUAUUAAAAACAUAUUAUCAAUCUGCUUCUGCUCGAGGUUUCUGCCUUUUAGAAAGAAGUUUAUCCUCUCCACUGUCGCCUAUUGGCUUUCUCAUGGUGGGAAUUGUUGAGUCUCUCUAUUUAAAUAUAAUAAGGUGAAGAGUACAGUCUAGAUCUGCUCUAUAUGAAAAGACAGAUAACUUCUGUUGUGAUUCAGUGCUAUAUAAAUAAAACUGACUUGACUUGACAUCAGUAUUUAUAGAAGUUUAAUAAUAAUGAUUGAUUACAGCUGAUAAUGCAGUAAAUAUGUAAUAAUGUCAGUGUGAAUAUCAGCUGUAGUUACUGACAGUGGCCACUGGAGGGCAGUGACUCUGUGAGUUUCUGUCACUUUAAAGUACCGUUACAUAACUAUUUCACCUUAAUAACACCUGCGGUACCUCUACCAGCUGCAGUUCAUCCAGAAUACAGCUGCCAAAGUCCUGUGUAACACCACUAAGGUGGGACACAUUACACCUGUUCUUCAAUCACUGCACUGCCUUCCACAGUACAUGUGUUGGCUUGUUAGACUGAUAAGCCGUUAUACAAAUGUUUUCCAUCUAAGCCCUUCUGUUCCCACCACUGUUCAACACACAGUGACACCCUUGUAUGAACUUGUCUUGGCUCAAUGCUCAUUUAAGCAAAUUACUCAACAGUCUUGCCUAUGACAUUUCGUGAAUGCCUCAAAGCAUUUUACUAAAUAUGUGAAAUGAGAAGCUGUCGAUGACUUUUCAGUCAAGUUCAUGUAAUCCUGGACAGAUAUUUCACACAUUAUUUAAUUCCCUAAAAGAACUGCUGCCAUUUCUUAUAAAUCCUACAGAAAGGGGAAGGCUUUGUGUUUCCUUGUGCAGCAGUUCCUACAGUUUGGAAAAAGUGCUGACAUCUCUUGUAAAUGAUGAGUGAGAGGGGAGGAGAAAGGAGAGAGGAGCAAAAUCCAGAUAAACAGGAAAUAAACUGAAUAAGCUCUACACAAAUAAAUGUCACUUGACAGUGAA